rnacentral:rRNA from 1 species
UACGUAGGGAGCAAGCGUUGUCCGGAAUCAUUGGGCGUAAAGCGCGCGGUAGGCGGCCAGAUAAGUCCGGUGUGAAAGUCACAGGCUCAACCUGUGAAUGCCGCUGGAAACUAUCUGGCUAGAGUCCGGAAGGGGCGAGUGGAAUUCCUGGUGUAGCGGUGAAAUGCGCAGAUAUCAGGAGGAACACCUAUGGCGAAGGCAGCUCGCUGGGACGGUACUGACGCUGAGGCGCGAAAGCGUGGGGAGCGAACAGG